AGAUUGAACGCUGGCGGCAUGCCUUACACAUGCAAGUCGAACGGCAGCACGGGAGCAAUCCUGGUGGCGAGUGGCGAACGGGUGAGUAAUAUAUCGGAACGUGCCCAGUCGUGGGGGAUAACGCAGCGAAAGCUGUGCUAAUACCGCAUACGAUCUAUGGAUGAAAGCGGGGGAUCGCGAGACCUCGCGCGAUUGGAGCGGCCGAUAUCAGAUUAGGUAGUUGGUGGGGUAAGAGCCUACCAAGGCGACGAUCUGUAGCUGGUCUGAGAGGACGACCAGCCACACUGGAACUGAGACACGGUCCAGACUCCUACGGGAGGCAGCAGUGGGGAAUUUUGGACAAUGGGCGCAAGCCUGAUCCAGCAAUGCCGCGUGCAGGAUGAAGGCCUUGGUUGUAAACUGCUUUUGUACGGAACGAAACGGUUCUACUCUAAUACAGGGCUAAGUGACGGUACCGUAAGAAUAAGCGAACCGGACUAACUACGUGACCG
rnacentral:rRNA from 1 species